AACGAACGCUGGCGGCAGGCCUAACACAUGCAAGUCGAACGCAUCCUUCGGGGUGAGUGGCAGACGGGUGAGUAACACGUGGGAACGUGCCUUUCGGUUCGGGAUAACCCAGGGAAACUUGGGCUAAUACCGGAUACGCCCUUUGGGAGAAAGAUUUAUUGCCGAAAGAUCGGCCCGCGUCUGAUUAGCUAGUUGGUGGGGUAAUGGCCUACCAAGGCGACGAUCAGUAGCUGGUCUGAGAGGAUGAUCAGCCACACUGGGACUGAGACACGGCCCAGACUCCUACGGGAGGCAGCAGUGGGGAAUAUUGGACAAUGGGGGCAACCCUGAUCUAGCCAUGCCGCGUGAGUGAUGAAGGCCUUAGGGUUGUAAAGCUCUUUCAGCUGGGAAGAUAAUGACGGUACCAGCAGAAGAAGCCCCGGCUAACUCCGUGCCAGCCGCCGCAGUAAAAC
rnacentral:rRNA from 1 species